GCUUAAAAUCUAGCUCAACCUAACCUAAAUAAAACCUCCCCUUAAUCCACAUAAACUAAAACAUUUUAAUAUUUUAGUAGAGGAGAUCAAAAAAAUUUCAGAAGCAAUAGAUCUAGUACCGCAAGGGAAUGAUGAAAUAAAAAUGAAAAAAAUUAUAAGCAGAAAAAAGUAGAGAUUCAACCUCGUACCUUUUGCAUCAUGGUUUAAUUAGUUUAAUCAGGCAAAAAGCAUUAUAGUCUGACGUCCCGAAACUAAGCGAGCUACCUAGAAGCAGCCUUAUGGGCGCACCCGUCUCUGUUGCAAAAGAGUGGGAUGACUUCUAAGUAGUGGCGACACACCUAACGAGCUUAGUGAUAGCUGGUUUCUCGAGAAAAGGAUUUUAGUCCACCCUAGAGCUCAAUUAAAUUCUAUUAAAAUCAUAAUCUAGCUUUAGAGUAAGUCAAAUAAGGUACAGCCUAUUUGACACAGGAUACAACCUAAACCGACGGGUAAGAUACCCCUUAUUCACCUUAGUAGGCUUAAGAGCAGCCACCUAUUAAAAAGCGUCAAAGCUUAGCCAAAUUCAUCUCAUAAUCCCAAUCCUCAUCUCAAACCCUCCCCCAAUAUCGAGUAAUUCUAUAAUUUUAUAGAAGAUUUCAUGUUAAAACUAGUAACAAGAAGGAUGACCUUCUCUUUAAUGCAAGUAUAAACCAGAAAGGACAAACCACUGGAAGUUAACGCCUCUGAACACAAAUUAGUAAACUCACAAGAAAAACCUUAUACUACACACGUUAACCUGACACAAGAGCAUUACAAGAAAGAUUAAAAGAAAAGGAAGGAACUCGGCAAAUAUUAACCCCGCCUGUUUACCAAAAACAUCGCCUCUUGAUUAAAAAUAAGAGGUCCCGCCUGCCCAGUGACUCAUGUUCAACGGCCGCGGUAUCCUAACCGUGCGAAGGUAGCGUAAUCACUUGUUCUUUAAAUGGGGACUAGUAUGAAUGGCACCACGAGGGUUAUACUGUCUCCCUUUUCCAAUCAGUGAAACUAAUCUCCCUGUGAAGAAGCAGGGAUAAAAAUAUAAGACGAGAAGACCCUAUGGAGCUUUAAAUUUCAAUUCAAAUGCCCUCCAACCCUAAAAGUUUCCAACUUUAUUCUCACAAACCAGGCAUAGUGAAAUAGAAUUUUAGGUUGGGGUGACCGCGGAGUACAAAACAACCUCCACAUUGAACUAGGCCUAUUACCUUGAGCAACGAACUACAAUCCUAUGCACAAAAAAAUUUUCAUUCAUUGACCCAAUUUUUUUGAUCAACGAACCAAGUUACCCUAGGGAUAACAGCGCAAUCCUCUUCAAGAGCCCCUAUCGCCAAGAGGGUUUACGACCUCGAUGUUGGAUCAGGGUAUCCCAGUGGCGCAGCCGCUACUAAUGGUUCGUUUGUUCAACGAUUAAAACCCU
rnacentral:rRNA from 1 species